UACGUAGGGUGCAAGCGUUAAUCGGAAUUACUGGGCGUAAAGCGUGCGCAGGCGGUUUUGUAAGUCUGUCGUGAAAUCCCCGGGCUCAACCUGGGAAUUGCGAUGGAGACUGCAAGGCUAGAAUCUGGCAGAGGGGGGUAGAAUUCCACGUGUGAGCAGUGAAAUGCGUAGAUAUGCGGAGGAACGACCGAGGCGAAGGCAUCCCUGGGC
rnacentral:rRNA from 1 species